UCCAGACUCCUACGGGAGGCAGCAGUGGGGAAUAUUGCACAAUGGGGGAAACCCUGAUGCAGCGACGCCGCGUGGGUGAAGAAGUAUUUCGGUAUGUAAAGCCCUCUCAGCAGGGAAGAAAGAGGACGGUACCUGACUAAGAAGCCCCGGCUAACUACGUGCCAGCAGCCGCGGUAAUACGUAGGGGGCAAGCGUUAUCCGGAUUUACUGGGUGUAAAGGGAGCGUAGACGGCAGAUCAAGUCUGGAGUGAAAUCCCGGGGCUCAACCCCGGAGCUGCUCUGGAAACUGAGAAGCUAGAGUGCUGGAGAGGCAGGCGGAAUUCCUAGUGUAGCGGUGAAAUGCGUAGAUAUUAGGAGGAACACCAGUGGCGAAGGCGGCCCGCUGGACAGCGACUGACGUUGAGGCUCGAAAGCGUGGGGAGCAAACAGGAUUAGAUACCCCAGUA
rnacentral:rRNA from 1 species